GGUUAACGCUAGCGGCAGGCUUAACACAUGCAAGUCGAGCGGAGACUUCGGUCUUAGCGGCGAACGGGUGAGUAAUACCUAGGAAUCUGCCUAUUAGUGGGGGAUAACGAAUCGAAAGGUUCGCUAAUACCGCAUACGUCCUACGGGAGAAAGGGGGGGAGUCUUCGGACCUCUCGCUAAUAGAUGAGCCUAGGCCGGAUUAGCUAGUUGGUAGGGUAAAGGCCUACCAAGGCGACGAUCUGUAGCUGGUCUGAGAGGAUGGCCAGCCACACUGGAACUGAGACACGGUCCAGACUCCUACGGGAGGCAGCAGUGGGGAAUAUUGGACAAUGGGGGCAACCCUGAUCCAGCCAUGCCGCGUGUGUGAAGAAGGCCUCGG
rnacentral:rRNA from 1 species